GUAGGGAAUAUUGGUCAAUGGAUGCAAGUCUGAACCAGCCAUGCCGCGUGCAGGAAGAAGGCCUUCUGGGUUGUAAACUGCUUUUGCCAGGGGAUAAAAUUUCCUUGCGAGGAAAAUUGAAGGUACCUGGUGAAUAAGCCACGGCUAACUACGUGCCAGCAGCCGCGGUAAUACGUAGGUGGCAAGCGUUGUCCGGAUUUAUUGGGUUUAAAGGGUGCGUAGGCGGUUUUGUAAGUCAGUGGUGAAAUAUAGCAGCUUAACUGUUAGGGUGCCAUUGAUACUGCAGAACUUGAGUACAGAUGAGGUAGGCGGAAUUGACGGUGUAGCGGUGAAAUGCUUAGAUAUCGUCAAGAACACCUAUAGCGAAGGCAGCUUACUAGGCUGUAACUGACGCUGAGGCACGAAAGUGUGGGGAUCAAACAGGAUUAGAUACCCGAGUAGUCC
rnacentral:rRNA from 1 species